GGGUCCGCGUUUCAUUAGCUAGUUGGUAGGGUAAUGGCCUACCAAGGCAACGAUGAGUAGCUGGUCUGAGAGGAUGAUCAGCCACACUGGAACUGAAACACGGUCCAGACUCCUACGGGAGGCAGCAGUGGGGAAUAUUGCGCAAUGGGCGAAAGCCUGACGCAGCAACGCCGUGUGAGGGAUGAAGGCUUUCGGGUCGUAAACCUCUGUCGGAAGGGAAGAACGGGCAUUGGUCUAAUAGGCCUUUGUUUUGACGGUACCUUUAGAGGAAGCACCGGCUAACUCCGUGCCAGCAGCCGCGGUAAUACGGAGGGUGCAAGCGUUAAUCGGAAUUACUGGGCGUAAAGCGCACGUAGGCUGUAGUGUAAGUCAGGGGUGAAAUCCCACGGCUCAACCGUGGAACUGCCUUUGAUACUGCACAACUUGAAUCCGGGAGAGGGUGGCGGAAUUCCAGGUGUAGGAGUGAA
rnacentral:rRNA from 1 species